AAUAGGAGAAUGACAAAUCGUAUUUUUCCUUCUGAUUUUCAGCUUUCUCGUCUUGAAAAAAAUUCAAAUCCAACUAAAAAUGCUAAAAAUCAGAGGAAAAAUUCAAUUUGUCAUUCUUCUAUU
rfam:Gossypium hirsutum cultivar TM-1 unplaced genomic scaffold scaffold3227.1, whole genome shotgun sequence